rnacentral:lncRNA from 1 species
GAGCUGCCAUCGUCCAGAUGAAGGAGUACUUCGACAAAUUUGCGAAUGGCGAUGAGCACCCGGGGCUUAUUGAGGAGACUGCAAGCUUCCAGCUUAGGAGGAAGAAGUCAGACAAAGCUCAUGGGUUUGUAGAUAUAUCCAUCCGAAUCUGCAAGGAGGAAGAUGUCCAUGCUCAGUUUUCAGGUAAACAGAAACUUCUGUUUUUCAUUUCAAGAUAGAACAAUAUGACAUACUAGAUAGCAGUUGCACCCAUUGCGCUGAUAGGUAUUCAGUACAAUACUUGCAAAAUAGAUCUUUCUACAAAGAAUUUGCACACAAACAAUACAAAGUUAUGUUUAACCAAUAGAUCCUGUGAUUUAAGACGACUUUAACAGACAUUUACCUUAUUGAUUAUACAAUCCGCAUACAACUGAAUUCAACUCUAUUGCCUUGUUGUGAAUGUGCAGGCUCACAUGACGGAUCAAAGUAUCCAAACCAGGUUGGGAUCACAUUAGCUAUAGAAGAUGGUCCAGUUUAUAAUUAUCCAGCACU